rfam:Arthrobotrys oligospora ATCC 24927 unplaced genomic scaffold scaffold00054, whole genome shotgun sequence.
GCCGGGAUAGUUCAGUGGUAGAAUUCUCGCUUCGGGUUUGCCCCAGCACGAGCAAAACGUGCCUGAAGUGUGAGAGGUCCUGGGUUCAACUCCCAGUUUCGGCC